UACGGAGGGGGCAAGCGUUAUUCGGAAUUAUUGGGCGUAAAGGGCGCGUAGGCGGCUAGAUGUGUCAAAGGUGAAAUCCCUCGGCUCAACUGAGGAACUGCCUUUGAAACUGUCUGGCUUGAGGCCGGGAGAGGGUAGCGGAAUUCCCAGUGUAGCGGUGAAAUGCGUAGAUAUUGGGAGGAACACCAGUGGCGAAGGCGGCUACCUGGACCGGUUCUGACGCUGAGGCGCGAAAGCGUGGGGAGCAAACGGG
rnacentral:rRNA from 1 species